rnacentral:rRNA from 1 species
UUCACGGUAUUGCAAUGAGAACAAUUUAAAACCCUUAGCGAGAAUCAAGUGGAGGACAAGUCUGGUGCCAGCACCCGCGGUAAUUCCAGCUCCACUAGCGUAUAUUAAAGUUGUUGCAGUUAAAAAGCUCGUAGUUGAACCUCUGUCUGGGGCUAGUUUUGGCUUUGGUCAGGCUAGUUCUAGGCAUCCGCCUACAAGACUUAGAGGGCAUUCAGUUGUUCACUAGGAGGAGUAGGCAUUUUACUUUGAAAAAAUUAGAGUGUUUAAGGCAGGCAAUCGCCCGCAUAUAUUAGCAUGGAAUAAUAGAAUAGGACACUUUUCCAUUUCGUUGGUUAUUGGAAUCGUGUAAUGAUUAAUAGGGACAGUUGUGGGCAUUUGUAUUUAAUUGUCAGAGGUGAAAUUCUUGGAUUUAUUAAAGACAAACUAACGCGAAAGCAUUUGCCAAGGAUGUUUUCAUUAAUCAAGAACGAAAGUUAGGGGAUCAAAGACGAUCAGAUACCGUCCUAGUCUUAACUAUAAACUAUUCCGACUCAAUGUUUGACUGGCUUAUAUAACCAGUUGAGCGUUGUAUGAGAAAUCAAAGUCUUUAGGUUCUGGGGGGAGUAUGGUUGCAAAGCUGAAACUUAAAGGAAUUGACGGAAGAGCACAACCAGGAGUGGAUUCUGCGGCUUAAUUUGACUCAACACGGGGAAACUUACCGGGUUAAAACAAUAGUGGGAUUGACAGUUUGAGAGCGCUUUCUUGAUUGGUUGGGUGGUGGUGCAUGGCCGUUCUUAGUUGGUGGAGUGAUUUGUCUGCUUAAUUGCGUUAACGAACGAGACCUUAACCUGCUUACUAGACUGGCGAUCAUCAAUCGUUAGCUCUUCUUAGAGGGACUUUGGUUGUUUUAACUCCAAGGAAGUUUGAGGCAAUAACAGGUCUGUGAUGCCCUUAGAUAUCCUGGGCCGCACGCGUCAUACAAUGACUAGUUCAGAAAGUUUUCUCCUGACCCGAAAGGGGAUGGGUAAUCUUGAUAAUACUAGUCGUGUUAUGGAUCGAUCUUUGCAAUUAUAGAUCUUGAACGAGGAAUUCCUAGUAAGUGCGGUUCAUCAGACCGUACUGAUUACGUCCCUGCUCUUUGUACACACCGCCCGUCGCUUCUACCGAGUGGGUGGUCCGGUGAGAUAAUUGAACUUCGCAGGUAACUGAGAGGAAAGAUUAUCAAACCUAUCCACCU